UACGGAGGGUGCAAGCGUUAAUCGGAAUAACUGGGCGUAAAGCGCACGCAGGCGGUUGGAUAAGCGAGAUGUGAAAGCCCCGGGCUCAACCUGGGAACUGCAUCCGAAACUGACAGGCUAGAGUCUUGUAGAGGGGGGUAGAAUUCCAGGUGUAGCGGUGAAAUGCGUAGAGAUUAGGAAGAACACCAGUGGCGAAGGCGGCCCCCUGGACAAAGACUGACGCUCAGGUGCGAAAGCGUGGGUAUCAAAC
rnacentral:rRNA from 1 species